GACGAACGCUGGCGGCGUGCCUAAUACAUGCAAGUCGAGCGAAGUUUUUCUGGUGCUUGCACCGGAAAAACUUAGCGGCGCACGGGUGAGUCACACGUAAAGAACCUGCCUCAUAGACUGGGACAACUAUUGGAAACGAUAGCUAAUACCGGAUAACAGCAUUACCUGCAUGGUUGAUGUUUAAAAGUUGGUUUUGCUAACACUAUGAGAUGGCUUUGCGGUGCAUUAGCUAGUUGGUGGGGUAAAGGCCUACCAAGGCGACGAUGCAUAGCCGACCUGAGAGGGUGAUCGGCCACACUGGGACUGAGACACGGCCCAGACUCCUACGGGAGGCAGCAGUAGGGAAUCUUCCGCAAUGGGCGAAAGCCUGACGGAGCAACGCCGCGUGAGUGAAGAAGGAUUUCGGUUCGUAAAGCUCUGUUGUUAGGGAAGAAUGAUUGUGUAGUAAAUAUACACAGUAGAGACGGUACCUAACCAGAAAGCCACGGCUAACUACGUG
rnacentral:rRNA from 1 species